AGCAAAUUCCCAUGUUGUAGACAGGAGCC
rnacentral:piRNA from 1 species